CAGCCGCCGCGGUAAUACGUAGGUGGCAAGCGUUGUCCGGUAUUAUUGGGCGUAAAGCGCAUGUAGGCGGCCUUUUAAGUCAGUCGUGAAAAUGCGGUGCUUAACACCGUAUGGCGAUUGAAACCGGAAGGCUUGAGUGCAGGAGAGGAAAGGGGAACUCCCAGUGUAGCGGUGAAAUGCGUAGAUAUUGGGAAGAACACCAGUGGCGAAGGCGCCUUUCUGGACUGUGUCUGACGCUGAGAUGCGAAAGCCAGGGUAGCAAACGGGAUUAGAUACCCCGGUAGUCCUGGCCGUAAACGAUGGGUACUAGGUGUGGGAGGUAUCGACCCCUUCCGUGCCGGAGUUAACGCAAUAAGUACCCCGCCUGGGGAGUACGGUCGCAAGACUUAAACUCAAAGGAAUUGACGGGGGCCCGCACAAGCGGUGGAGUAUGUGGUUUAAUUCGACGCAACGCGAAGAACCUUACCAAGGCUUGACAUUGAAUGACCAUCUGAGAGAUCAGAUCUUCCCUUCGGGGACAUGAAAACAGGUGGUGCAUGGCC
rnacentral:rRNA from 1 species